UAAUACGGAGGGUGCAAGCGUUAAUCGGAAUUACUGGGCGUAAAGCGCUCGUAGGCGGCUUGUUAAGUCGGAUGUGAAAGCCCCGGGCUCAACCUGGGAACUGCAUUCGAUACUGGCAAGCUAGAGUAUAGUAGAGGCAAGUGGAAUUUCGGGUGUAGCGGUGAAAUGCGUAGAUAUCCGAAGGAACAUCAGUGGCGAAGGCGACUUGCUGGACUAAUACUGACGCUGAGGAGCGAAAGCGUGGGGAGCAAACGGGAUUAGAUACCCCGGUAGUCCACGCCGUAAACGAUGUCAACUAGCCGUUGGGGGGCUUAGUCCCUUUAGUGGCGCAGCUAACGCAUUAAGUUGACCGCCUGGGGAGUACGGUCGCAAGACUA
rnacentral:rRNA from 1 species